rnacentral:rRNA from 1 species
UACGUAGGGUGCAAGCGUUGUCCGGAAUUAUUGGGCGUAAAGAGCUCGUAGGCGGUCUGUCGCGUCUGCUGUGAAAACUCAGGGCUUAACCCUGAGCUUGCAGUGGGUACGGGCAGACUAGAGUGCGGUAGGGGAGACUGGAAUUCCUGGUGUAGCGGUGAAAUGCGCAGAUAUCAGGAGGAACACCGGUGGCGAAGGCGGGUCUCUGGGCCGUAACUGACGCUGAGGGGCGAAAGCAUGGGGAGCGAACAGG